AAGUCACUAAAUCUCAGCCCGAAAAGUGGGAUGAAGAGGCCCAAGAUGCUGCAGGCGAGGAAGAGAAAGAACAAGAAAAAGAGAAGGAUGCAGAAAACAAGGUGAAGAACUCCAAAGGGACCUAGACGCAGCAGAGGUGAAGCCAAGAAAAUCCAGAUGCCUGUGGGAAUUGUAACACAUAUCAUUCCAAAGUUCGUUACAUCAAAAGUGAUAUCCAGUGACAUCUAACUUUCAUGGAUGUAUGUGACAGUGUUCAAGUUAAAAAAUAAAAGUUUGUUUUAAAUGAAUAAA
rnacentral:lncRNA from 10 species